CAAUAGCGUAUAUUAAAGUUGUUGCAGUUAGAACGCUCGUAGUCGGAUUUCGGGGCGGGCCGACCGGUCUGCCGAUGGGUAUGCACUGGCCGGCGCGUCCUUCCUCUCGGAGACCGUUCCUACUCUUAACUGAGCGGGAGCGGGAGACGGGACUUUUACUUUGAAAAAAUCAGAGUGUUUCAAGCAGGCAGCUCGCUCUUGCAUGGAUUAGCAUGGGAUAAUGAAAUAGGACUUUGGUGCUAUUUUGUUGGUUUCGAACACCGAAGUAAUGAUGAGAAGGGACAGUCAGGGGCACUCGUAUUCCGCCGAGAGAGGUGAAAUUCUCAGACCAGCGGAAGACGAACCACUGCGAAAGCAUUUGCCAGGGAUGUUUNCACUGA
rnacentral:rRNA from 1 species